rnacentral:lncRNA from 1 species
CUCAAAAACUGAAGUCGGAAAUAACAUGAAAAGGUAAAGGAGUAAAUGCUUGUGACACCCUGUAGUUUAUACCUAAAAUCAGUUUUGUCCCUCACUUUUUUUUUAAACUGGUAUACCCUUAUACUUUGAAUUCUUUACUGAUUUGCCCUUGUCGUCAAUUGACCGUUAAAGAAGACUGUUAAGUUGCUGAGAUGACCGGCUUCAGCUCCUUCAUCGUCUCCGGCCUCUCACUCUCUCUCCCACUUCUUCUCCCUCAUCUCCCCACUUCCCCUCCGCCCAAACAAAAUGGAGGAGAAGAAGACCUCCCAUCUCUUCUUUUUCACUCUCCUCUUCUCCCUCUCCUCCGCCGCCCUUGACCACCACACCCUCCUCCUCUCCCCCCUCCCCUCCGCCCCCUCUCUCUCCCAACCCGAAUCCUUUUCAAAAACAUUCGAACCCGACUCCAACCCAUCUUCCCUCUCUCUCCCUCUCCACCACCUCGACGCCCUCUCCUCCAACCAAACCCCCUCCCAACUUUUCCACCUCCACCUCCAUUGCGACUCCCUCCGCUUCAACUCCCUCACCUCCCUCGCCUACAACCGCACCUGACCCGGCCCAGUUUAGGAGUAGCAGGAGGAGGAUUUUCUCGGGUCAAAAACCGGGUCGGUUUGAGAGUAGCAGCAUUUACAAGGGACGCAUUGGAGCCAGACGACGUCGGAGCCAGUGUCGAGGACCAUGAGGACCAUGUAGAGCCGACGCCGAUGCGGGUGAAGUACGAGCCGACGCCGAUGCGGGUGAAGUACUCGCCGCUGCCUUGGGAGAGGCCGGAGACUAUGGAGGAGCUAAACCCGGAGGAGGGUGGGCCGGGUCGGGUGCGGUUGUAGGCGAGGGAGUUGAGGGAGUUGAAGCGGAGGGAGUCGCGGCAGAGGCGGAGGUGGAAGAGUUGGGAGGGGGUUUGGUUGGAGGAUAGGGCGUCGAGGUGGUGGAGAGGGAGGGAGAGGGAAGAUGGGUCGGAGUCGGGUUCGGAUGUUUCUGAAAAGGAUUUGCGUUAGGAGAGAGAGGGGGCGGAGGGGAGGGGGGAGAGGAGGAGGGUGUGGUGGUCAAGGGCGGCAGAGGAGAGAGAGAGGAGGAGAGUGAAAAAGAAGAGAUGGGGGGGUCUUCUUCUCCUCCAUUUUGUUUGGGCGGUGGGGAAGUGGGGAGAUGAGGGAGAAGAAGUGGGAGAGAGAGUGAGAGGCCGGAGACGAUGGAGGAGCUGAAGCCGGUCAUCUUAGCAACUUAACAGUCAAUUGACGACAAGGGCAAAUCAGUCGAGAAUUCAAAGUAUAAGGGUAUACUAGUUUUAAAAAAAAAAGUGAGGGACAAAACUAAUUUUAGAUAUAAACUACAGGGUGUCACAAGUAUUUACUCCAAAGGUAAAUAACAAUGAAAUUUAAGAUAGAUACCUCAUGUAGGUUAAAAACCCAUACCCAGAGCAAAGCCCAGGCCCAAGCGCAAGCCCUUAUAUCAUGAGGCCAUAGCCCAAGGGCGUCAGGAGCCCAAUACCCAGUAGAUCCCGAAGCCCAGACCCAUGGUGCCUUGUCAAAUUCCACGUACGUUGUCCUCCCAGAUCGAGCCGUCCGCUGCACCACUACCUCAUUCGCACCACAGCCGCGGUACCCCAUGCUGCCCUGUCGAGAUUGGAGCAGAGCGGCGCUACCAGCUCAUCGGUGAGCCAGCCCAUCAAACCACCGACACCGGCCCACUCUCUGAACUCCAGUUUCCUUUCCCAAAGCAGCAACAUCCUAAACCCAUAUCUGAUAAAGACAAGAGCAAGAUCUACACGAUUCCCUCCUUCAAGCAAAAACCCUAGGCUGCAAUCCUUCUCCUAUGUUCGCUGACAAUCUGAGAGGCACAUAUUAGAAUCGUUAUGUCCUACCCGAUCUAAAGAACCAUCCCACGAAACCUGGACCUUGUUCCUGCCGUGUAGUGUCCUACCACUAUCAUAGACAAACAUCCCCUCCCGGGCCGGAACGCAGCGGCGAGGAAGCCGAUGGCAUUCGGUCGAGAGAGAACAACCCUCAAUUUAUUUUUUCUCUCGCGCGCGUGGGGCGCGUUCUAUUCUCUCCUCACAAAAGUGCGUUAUAAUCCUUCACCAGUGACGAGUGAAAUACCCAACGUUUACUUACCGUGAUUUUAG